AAGGAAGUAUUUAUUUAAAUAAGAAUAUAUUUCUUGGCUUUGGACAUUAAACUAACUUGAACACAGGUCCACACACAAGGUAGCAGGAAGCUGCUGAAGGGAAGAAGCAUUUGAUGUUGGAGAACUUCCAGGACUUGAGUUCCAGCGACAAAAAGAAGAUAAAACUCUCCCUGGUCAGGCGGCCAUAGACCAAGGAUGAUGAAAGAGGACAUCUCUCACGCUGCAAGACGUCGCCAGCGUCACAUGACAGACGACUCUUCAGAGGACGCAUGACACACGUGAAUAAUCUCCCGUGGGCGUAGCCACACCACGCCGGCCUUGCGCAACGAGCCGCGGAGGACUUUAGCAUGAAUCACGACUCUCCGGGCGCACGAGUGACCUCUUUUACGUCCAAAACAAGACUUCUGCUUUCGGUUUGGAAGCUGCAGGAAAUGGCCUCUGCAAAUAGAAAGGAGGGCGAGAGGCAGCGGCGGCUGAGGAACUGUCAAAAGUUUACAAGUGGAGAAGAAUGUCAAUGACAGGGAGCGACGGAACGCGUCAUUCCUAAACACGCUGCAGGGUCACGCCCGGCAGAACCUUCUAGAAACGUCUGCUUCCACGCUAGCGGCCGGCGCCUCCCAGGCGGAUCUGCACGUCACGGACGCUCCCGGCUCGCACGUAAAGACGCCAACCGUACCUUCGGUAUUGUGGCAAGCGGUGACUCAGGCUCCCCAUUGACCUGUCAAUCAGAGGGCUGUGACACGAGUGGGCGGGGCUUGGCGGCAAAUCCGUGCUGUGAAAACACAGAGAUGUUCUCCUUAAAGGCCUACUGAAACCCACUACUACCCACCACGCAGUCUGAUAGUUUAUACAUCAAUGAUGAAAUAUUAACAUUGCAACACAUGCCAAUACGGCCUUUUUAGUUGACUAAAUUACAAUUUUAAAUUAAGUUUCGUCUUGAAAACGUCGUGUAAUGAUGACGUGUACGCAGGACGUCACAGGUUUUUAGGAAGUAUGAGCGCUGCACACAACUAAAAGUCGUCUGCUUUAACGGCAUAAUUAUACAGUUUUUUGGACAUCUGUGUUGCUGAAUCUUUUGCAAUUUGUUCAAUUAAUAUUGGAGAAGUCACAGUAGAAAGAUGGAGUUGGGAAGCUUUAGCCUUUAGCCACACAAACACACGGUGAUUCCUUGUUUAAAAUUCCUGGAGGUGAAACUUUACUAUGGAUCACAGCGCGGUCAAGAGGACAUGGAUCCCUACCAAAUGUCAACCAGCUGUUUUCGCUGCCGUCGACUCCCCUGAGCCACUGCGCGUCAAGACACCCGUGGAGACGCCCUUCUGACUAUCAGAUUUGUGCCUGGAAGCAAUCCUGUCUCGGAUGUCUACAGACCAUUCCUUGGACUUCAUUCUUGGUUUGGCUGUCAGGUGUGGACCUUCUACAUAGACGGGUGCGAGUGUUGAAAUGGGACAUAUAUCUGGUUCCUUCUAGGGUCUGCUACACCGUGGCGCUUUUGUGGCCACGCCCACCGUUCCUCUCCCUCAGCCUUCAGAACAUCUCCUCUGCUUUCCUGUCAAAACUUCAGAUUUUUGGCAGGAAAUCCAGUUUUUGUCCUUCUUUACUUAUCAAUCCCGUUUUGUUUGUUUUUUACUAUCGCAUGGGCUCAGUAAAGGAGAGUGCAUAGUUUAAUGUUCCGUAAUUAAAUCCAAUAAAACAAGAAAUGGAUGAACAUGAAGGGGACAGAAAAUAUAUUUUUGCCAAAAAUCCUCAUUUUGUGUAAAUAUUUUGACAAAUAUGGGAUUUUUAAUCAUGCAAAGAAGAGCAAGCAGCAGCUCUCACGUUCUCGAAAUUUCUGUAACAAUGAAAAAUGUCGAAAUUUUGAUCUACUUGAAGGAGCCCAGACUGUUUACAAUAUUUCACGAGGGAAACCUUACAAUGUAUUAAAUCCAUAAACUGUUAUAAAAUUGUAUAAAAUGGAGUGAUGGUGAGUUAUUGUGAUGUAGAGAAAUCCCAUAGUUCCAGCAAUUGAUCAUAUUUUGAAAAGCAAAUGAAAUAUAAUCUUAAGAGAAAAAUGUAAUUUGAAACAUUUGCACGCACGUACAACACUUAGGACCUUCAGUAUAUCAGUUUGUGGAACUAAAUUAUGGAAUGGACUACGCAAAUAAAACGAAAAAUUUACUAAUAUAAUCCACUUCAACAAACUCUUCAAACUUAGCGUUUACAAAGUACAAAAGAGAACCAUGAAAAACAUUCUGAAUUCAUUUCAUCCAUCAUUA